ACUAAAGUAAAUCAAAGUAAAGUUCCCCUUUCAGACCUUACAAUCUAUGGGGCUGAGGAUGUAAAGGUCAUCUGUUUCUGUCGCCCAUGGUUAAUGAGGUUGUCAGCACAACAACCACCCGCCUUUACCUUCCCCAUCACAUCAGGUACCUUUAGGUUGGUAGACAUAGUCAUGUGAUCAGGCACACAUAUUGUUGGUAAAAAUCUGGUUUCUAUGCACAGUCAACACACGCUUUUAGGCACUUACCAUGGAUAAGUCGAGCAAAGAAAGAUAUAGUCAGGAAAUUACAGAAAUAAAUAAUAUUGAUCCUUACACUUUGAAAGCAAGCCAUCAUAAUAAAGAAAAUGAUUUGCUGCCCUCCUUGUGUUAUCCAGAUCUCUUCACUUAUAAUCUUGUUCUACUGAAAGUGCCUACACAAUCACAAAGGAUGAAUUCAAGGCUUACAAGAGUUUAGCAGCUUACAACCAGUUCCUAGAUGGUUGGGUUCAAGAUAUUAUGGCUUUUAAACCACUAGCAAAGGUUCUUCACUCUCAGUGGUUAGCAGAAAAGGUACUGCAGCCCUGGAUAAGUUGAGAUGGUAUUAUUCUAUCAGCCCACUGUUCUUGUACAGUUGGACUUGGAG